rnacentral:tRNA from 1 species
UCAUAGGGUAGCCUAGUGGACAUGGCAUCUGCCCGGUAAGCGGAACACUGUGGGUUCGGUUCCCAUCCCUGGAC